rnacentral:rRNA from 1 species
GACGAAGGUGGCGAGCGUUACUCGGAAUUACUGGGCGUAAAGCGUGCGCAGGCGGUUUUGUAAGUCUGUCGUGAAAUCCCCGGGCUCAACCUGGGAAUUGCGAUGGAGACUGCAAGGCUAGAAUCUGGCAGAGGGGGGUGGAAUUCCGCGUGUAGCAGUGAAAUGCGUAGAGAUGCGGAGGAACACCGAUGGCGAAGGCAACCCCCUGGGCUGACACUGACGCUCAGGCACGAAAGCGUGGGGAGCAAACAGG